rnacentral:rRNA from 1 species
GAUGAACGCUAGCUACAGGCUUAACACAUGCAAGUCGAGGGGCAGCGGGAUUGAAGCUUGCUUCAAUUGCCGGCGACCGGCGCACGGGUGAGUAACGCGUAUCCAACCUUCCGUACACUCAGGGAUAGCCUUUCGAAAGAAAGAUUAAUACCUGAUGGUAUCUUAAGCACACAUGUAAUUAAGAUUAAAGAUUUAUCGGUGUACGAUGGGGAUGCGUUCCAUUAGGUAGUAGGCGGGGUAACGGCCCACCAAGGCGACGAUGGAUAGGGGUUCUGAGAGGAAGGUCCCCCACAUUGGAACUGAGACACGGUCCAAACUCCUACGGGAGGCAGCAGUGAGGAAUAUUGCACAAUGGGGGAAACCCUGAUGCAGCGACGCCGCGUGAGCGAAGAAGUAUUCGGUAUGUAAAACUCUAUCAGCAGGGAAGAUAAUGACGGUACCUGACUAAGAAGCACCGGCUAAAUACGUGCCAGCAGCCGCGGU